rnacentral:rRNA from 1 species
CUUUUAUCUUUUAAAAGACCUAGUAAUAGGUAUGCUUUAGGAGGGGCUUGCGCCAUAUUAGUUAGUUGGUAGGGUAAUGGCCUACCAAGACGAUGAUGUGUAGCUGGACUGAGAGGUUGAACAGCCACAUUGGGACUGAGACACGGCCCAAACUCCUACGGGAGGCAGCAGUAGGGAAUUUUCGGCAAUGGAGGAAACUCUGACCGAGCAACGCCGCGUGAAUGACGAAGUACUUCGGUAUGUAAAGUUCUUUUAUCAAGGAAGAAAAGCAAAUGGCGAACCAUUUGUUUGCCGGUACUUGAUGAAUAAGCCCCGGCUAAUUAUGUGCCAGCAGCCGCGGUAAGACAUAAGGGGCAAGUGUUAUCCGGAAUUAUUGGGCGUAAAGGGUGCGUAGGCGGUCUAGUAAGUCAGUGGUGUAAUGGCAACGCUUAACGUUGUCCGGCUAUUGAAACUGCUAAACUUGAGUUAGAUAGAGGCGAGUGGAAUUCCAUGUGUAGCGGUAAAAUGCGUAAAUAUAUGGAGGAACACCAGAGGCGUAGGCGGCUCGCUGGGUCUUAACUGACGCUGAGGCACGAAAGCGUGGGGAGCAAACAGGAUUAGAUACCCUGGUAGUCCACGCCGUAAACGAUGAGUACUAAGUGUCGGGUUAAACCGGUACUGAAGUUAACACAUUAAGUACUCCGCCUGAGUAGUACGUACGCAAGUAUGAAACUUAAAGGAAUUGACGGGACUCCGCACAAGCGGUGGAUCAUGUUGUUUAAUUCGAAGAUACCCGAAAAACCUUACCAGGUCUUGACAUGUUUUUGCAAAAUGAUAGUAAUAUCGUGGAGGUUACCAGAAACACAGGUGGUGCAUGGUUGUCGUCAGCUCGUGUCGUGAGAUGUUAGGUUAAGUCCUAAAACGAGCGAAACCCUUAUCGUUAGUUGCCAGCACGUUAUGGUGGGGACUUUAACGAGACUGCCAAUGAUAAAUUGGAGGAAGGUGAGGAUCACGUCAAAUCAGCAUGCCCCUUAUGACCUGGGCUACAAACGUGAUACAAUGGCUGUUACAAAGGGUAGCUGAAACGCAAGUUCUUGGCCAAUCCCCAAAAACAGUCCCAGUCCGGAUUGAAGUCUGCAACUCGACUUCAUGAAGUUGGAAUCGCUAGUAAUCGCGAAUCAGCAUGUCGCGGUGAAUACGUUCUCGGGGUUUGUACACACCGCCCGUCAAACCACGAAAGUUGGCAAUACCCCAAAACGGUAGCCUAACUCGUUUAUUUGAGAGGGCGCCGUC